CGGACGGGUGAGUAACGCGUGGGUAACCUGCCUCAUACAGGGGGAUAACAGUUAGAAAUGACUGCUAAUACCGCAUAAGACCACAGCACCGCAUGGUGCAGGGGCAAAAACUCCGGUGGUAUGAGAUGGACCCGCGUCUGAUUGGGUAGUUGGUGGGGUAACGGCCUACCAAGCCGACGAUCAGUAGCCGACCUGAGAGGGUGACCGGCCACAUUGGGACUGAGACACGGCCCAA
rnacentral:rRNA from 1 species